GAUGAACGCUGGCGGCGUGCCUAAUACAUGCAAGUCGAGCGAACAGACGAGGAUCUUGCUCCUCUGACGUUAGCGGCGGACGGGUGAGUAACACGUGGAUAACCUACCUAUAAGACUGGGAUACCUUCGGGAAACCGGAGCUAAUACCGGAUAAUAUAUUGAACCGCAUGGUUCAAUAGUGAAAGACGGUUUUGCUGUCACUUAUAGAUGGAUCCGCGCCGCAUUAGCUAGUUGGUAAGGUAACGGCUUACCAAGGCAACGAUGCGUAGCCGACCUGAGAGGGUGAUCGGCCACACUGGAACUGAGACACGGUCCAGACUCCGACGGGAGGCAGCAGUAGGGAAUCGUCCGCAAUGGGGGAAAGCCGGACGGAGCAACGCCGCGUGAGUGAUGAAGGUCUUCGGAUCGUAAAACGCUGUUAGUAGGGAAGAACAAAUGUGUAAGUAACUAUGCACGUCUUGACGGUACCUAAUCAGAAAGCCACGGCUAACUACGUG
rnacentral:rRNA from 1 species